UUUUUUUCCAAGUCCCUUCUGUUUCUGAGCACUGGGCGGAAGAGACCAGGGGAAGGGGGAUAGAGCGGAUGGUGGUCCCAUCCUACCCUAGCCUGGAGGUGGUGGCGUGGCUGAGCCUUUCCUGAGUCUAUGUGAAUGCGGUUUCACUGGGGGACAGUUGACUCCAUGCUUAGCUCCCUCUGGGUGACUUCCAGCCUUGGAAUUCGCUGGAGGCAAGCAUCCAAAGAUGCCUGGUUCCAGUUCUUGAACAUCUGUGUUCAGGAGUGUGCACUCAGGAGCUGGACAGUCUGGGUUGGAAUUCACACCUUGCCAGUUGUCUUCAGACAGUGUGGAAUGGUGAGCUUGAGGAGAGUCCUGAAGGCAUUGGAUCUGAACACUGCUACCGUAAACUGCUAACCCUGGCCAGGACUCCAUGGACGAGGACCUGUUCCAGCAGGUGAUGGUCUGGACGUGAUCAGAGGUGACUGCAUAGGAAUUCCAGACAUUUGCCUUCUUCCUUGGUUCUCCAGUAGCCUUCGUUUGGUCUUAAAAUAGGCACAUGCUUUAUCAUGUGCUGACCUACUAAUGUGAAGAAAUCCCCAAUGUCGGUGAUUUAAAAGGGAGCCCCAGGAAGAUCAUCGUGUUCCUGACCCCGGUGACAGCAAUUAAGUCUGCAGCCUUCCUCAUGUGCAUGUCUGUCCUUGGAUGUAAGUUUUAAAAGAACCAUGGAACCAGCGAGACCAAAACAGAGGGUCUUUGGUACAUGUUAUUCCCCAAACAAAGAGGAAUAUCUAAAUCAGAAAAUGUAUGAAUUCUAAUAUUUCAUAUUUUCACUAAUGAUCUAAUUGUGGAAUAAUAUUUAUUUACUUCCAAUGGGCGACUGAAUAAAGAUGAAGAGAAACAGUUAUACCUGUAUAUGGUGGGCAUCUUUCUGUGCGUGUCCUACAGGUAAUAAUCCAUAGUUCAAUGAUACAAAAAGUGACUUUGUAGAAGCAAGAGUACUUUUUCUUGUGUCUGGAGGCAGUGUUAGGUGCCCAUCUUCAUGUUUCUUUGGCACCCUCAACUCACCUCUUAUAAAGCAUUUCUCACCCUUUCCUAUGAUUUCUGUUAAUGAGUCUUCUUUCCACACUGGACUGUGACCUUUAAGAGGAUAACUGUAUGAUUUAUUAUUUUCUACAGAGGA
ensembl:lncRNA